GAGUUUGAUCAUGGCUCAGAUUGAACGCUGGCGGCAUGCCUUACACAUGCAAGUCGAACGGCAGCAUGAUCUAGCUCGCUAGAUUGAUGGCGAGUGGCGAACGGGUGAGUAAUACAUCGGAACGUGCCCUGUAGUGGGGAUAACUAGUCGAAAGAUUAGCUAAUACCGCAUACGACCUGAGGGUGAAAGUGGGGGACCGCAAGGCCUCAUGCUAUAGGAGCGGCCGAUGUCUGAUUAGCUAGUUGGUGGGGUAAAGGCCCACCAAGGCGACGAUCAGUAGCUGGUCUGAGAGGACGAUCAGCCACACUGGGACUGAGACACGGCCCAGACUCCUACGGGAGCAGCAGUGGGAAUUUUGGACAAUGGCGAAAGCCUGAUCCAGCAAUGCCGCGUGUGUGAAGAAGGCCU
rnacentral:rRNA from 1 species